rnacentral:tRNA from 1 species
UCCCAUAUUGUUUAGUGGUUAGGAUUCCUGGUUUUCACCCAGAUGGCCUGGGUUCGACUCCCUGUAUGGGAG